UCGCUUACAUCCCUAGUUGACUACUCACAUUUCUUCCCCUUCCCCCCCCUUCCUGCCUCUAUCAUAGACAGCGGGGCAGGUAGGGAGUAGGAGCCGGUGCUGCGGGGAGCCAGCUUAAAAGCUGGCACCACCUGUGGACAGGGGCUGCUGUACCCAGUGUGAGCUGGGACUGAGCAAGCACAGCUUAGUCCUGGCAUGCGCUGGAUACAGGAGCUACCCCCGCCUGCAGGUCUGCAGUUUAUAUGUAGUAGGAGCUGGGCUGUCUGCUGACCUGGUCUAACUACAUUUAAACUGCAGAGUUGCAAUGUGGGUAGCUCCCGGAGACUUUCUCCCUUAUUGACUAAUUAUGUUGUUGAUACAUAUUCUAUUGACUUCAGGAUUAGCUAUUUACUUGCUUCCUAACAUUCCUAUUCUGCACUUGACUGGUUCCUUCCCAAUUCUGGGAUCACUCCUUCUCCCCAUUCCCCACAGUCUGCUUGUCUCCCUUCAUGUUCUGCCCUUAGCCUCUCCCUCUGUUCCAUUGAGGAGUCCUGUGGCACCUUAUAGACUAACCGAAGUGUUGGAGCAUAAGCUUAUGCUCCAACACUUCGGUUAGUCUAUAAGGUGCCACAGGACUCCUCGCCGCUUUUGCAGAUUCAGACUAACACGGCUACCCCUCUGAUACUUGACACCUCUGCUCCAUCUGCACCUUGUCAGUGGGUAAAAUCAUGGCUUCAGUAACCGUCUCUGUGCCGUGACUCUCACAUCUACCUCUCCCUCUCUCUUCAGACUCCAGUCUGCCUUUGUACCGAGAUCCUCUCUUCCUAAUUACCCUGCAGUUAUCAGUACAACAUGGCAACACGGGACCACAAUUUUAGUGUUACCCCGGCCUCCUUUCUUCCCCCCUCACAUCCAGACUUACACUGAAUCCUGUACAUUUCCAACCUACCCUGAAGUCAUACAUCCCCUGUAUGUUCCUUCCUGAGCUGCUUUUUACUGAUCCUCCUGUCGCCCAGCUCACCUCUCUCCAGUACCUCCAAACUCCCCUUCUAACCUCUUUCCUUGGUUUCUCUUCCUGCAUCAGCUUUUCAUCUUUGCUUUCAAGGCUCCUUAUAGUUCUGUCCCUACCUGCACCUCAUCACUGGUCACCCACAACUCCUGAUGGUCCCUGUGCCUUCUUCAUUGUCUUCUGCCUGGCUCACCCUGUGCCCAGUCCUCGGGAGUUCUCCUGGACCCUGCAUGCCACAAAUCGGCCUCUCCAAAUCAACUUCCCUUUUCUUUGCCCUCGCCAGCUCUUGCCUGCCUUUUAUGCAGGUUUGAAAAACCACACAAAGAAAAAUGGGAAUGAAUCUGAUGCAUAUUGAAUCACCCAGGCAUUAUUAUUUUUGUGUCCCCCACCCCCGACCUUGGUAUCUUUCCUCCACUUUCUGAUCCUGUGAUCAGUUUCAGGUGGCAGCUCUUCAGAGCAGGCGCCAUCAUACCUAUGACCAAUUGAUGUUGACCAGUGAGCCUUGGCCAUUGGUCCCUUGCACCAGGCAUCUCUCAAAGCCAUUUAAGGGGCAUUCCUAUUGCAGAUGGUUUGGGGGACAGCCAAGUGAGUGGGAGGGCGGUUGGGUGGGAACUGCAAAGCGAAUUGCUGGCUUUAAAGGUGACCUUAGAGGAGGAUUCCCAGGUAGGCAGCAGGGUUUGUAAAUACUGCAUCACUCAUUAUGGUGAUCUCUUCACCCUUGAGAGCUGCAGGGCAGUUUUCAGCCUUCAGCAUCUGUAAGAGCUCCACACAAACUAACGUGUUAAUCCCAGAGUGUGGUGAGCUGUGUUUACUCCCAUUGUCCCGGGCACUCAGUUACGGAAAGAGGGAACAUGUCAGUGAAUUACUAACUAUACAAAAGGUGCAUGUAGCCCAUGCUAACAUCAUGCAGGGCUUGGAUUCUCUAGUGGCUGGACCACA